UACGUAGGGUGCAAGCGUUGUCCGGAAUUAUUGGGCGUAAAGAGCGUGUAGGCGGCCUCGUAAGUCCGCUGUGAAAGUCCAGGGCUCAACCCUGGAAAGCCGGUGGAUACUGCGAGGCUAGAGUCCGGAAGGGGCGAGUGGAAUUCCUGGUGUAGCGGUGAAAUGCGCAGAUAUCAGGAGGAACACCAAUGGCGAAGGCAGCUCGCUGGGACGGUACUGACGCUGAGACGCGAAAGCGUGGGGAGCGAACAGG
rnacentral:rRNA from 1 species